rnacentral:rRNA from 1 species
UACGUAGGUGGCAAGCGUUAUCCGGAUUCACUGGGCGUAAAGGGAGCGUAGGCGGUUCGAUAAGUCGGAUGUUAAAUCUCCCGGCUUAACUGGGAGGCGUCAUUCGAUACUGCCGGACUUGAGGACAGUAGAGGAAGGUGGAAUUCCCGGUGUAGUGGUGAAAUGCGUAGAUAUCGGGAGGAACACCAGUGGCGAAAGCGGCCUUCUGGGCUGUUUCUGACGCUGAGGCUCAAAAGCGUGGGGAG